rnacentral:rRNA from 1 species
UCAGGACGAACGCUGGCGGCGUGCUUAACACAUGCAAGUCGAACGGUUGUAGCAAUACAACAGUGGCGGACGGGUGAGUAACGCGUGAGCAACCUACCCUAUACAACGGGAUAACACAGAGAAAUUUGUGCUAAUACGGUAUAAGACCACAAGGAAGGCAUCUUCCGGUGGUAAAAAGAUUUUUAUCGGUAUGGGAGGGGCUCGCGUCUCAUUAGAUAGUUGGUGAGGGUAACGGCCCACCAAGUCAACGAUGGGUAGCCGACCUGAGAGGGUGAACGGCCACACUGGAACUGAGAUACGGUCCAGACUCCUACGGGAGGCAGCAGUGGGGAAUAUUGGGCAAUGGAGGCAACUCUGACCCAGCCAACGCCGUGUGAAUGAAGAAGGUCUUCGGAUUGUAAAGUUCUUCAAUUGGUGACGAAAGAAGUGACGGUAGCCAAAGAAUAAGCCACGACUAACUACGUGCCAGCAGCAGC